rnacentral:rRNA from 1 species
AGAGUUUGAUCCUGGCUCAGGAUGAACGCUGGCGGCGUGCCUAAUACAUGCAAGUCGAGCGAACGGACGAGAAGCUUGCUUCUCUGAUGUUAGCGGCGGACGGGUGAGUAACACGUGGAUAACCUACCUAUAAGACUGGGAUAACUUCGGGAAACCGGAGCUAAUACCGGAUAAUAUUUUGAACCGCAUGGUUCAAAAGUGAAAGACGGUCUUGCUGUCACUUAUAGAUGGAUCCGCGCUGCAUUAGCUAGUUGGUAAGGUAACGGCUUACCAAGUCAACGAUGCAUAGCCGACCUGAGAGGGUGAUCGGCCACACUGGAACUGAGACACGGUCCAGACUCCUACGGGAGGCAGCAGUAGGGAAUCUUCCGCAAUAGGCGAAAGCCUGACGGAGCAACGCCGCGUGAGUGAUGAAGGUCUUCGGAUCGUAAAACUCUGUUAUUAGGGAAGAACAUAUGUGUAAGUAACUGUGCACAUCUUGACGGUACCUAAUCAGAAAGCCACGGCUAACUACGUGCCAGCAGCCGCGGUAAUACGUAGGUGGCAAGCGUUAUCCGGAAUUAUUGGGCGUAAAGCGCGCGUAGGCGGUUUUUUAAGUCUGAUGUGAAAGCCCACGGCUCAACCGUGGAGGGUCAUUGGAAACUGGAAAACUUGAGUGCAGAAGAGGAAAGUGGAAUUCCAUGUGUAGCGGUGAAAUGCGCAGAGAUAUGGAGGAACACCAGUGGCGAAGGCGACUUUCUGGUCUGUAACUGACGCUGAUGUGCGAAAGCGUGGGGAUCAAACAGGAUUAGAUACCCUGGUAGUCCACGCCGUAAACGAUGAGUGCUAAGUGUUAGGGGGUUUCCGCCCCUUAGUGCUGCAGCUAACGCAUUAAGCACUCCGCCUGGGGAGUACGACCGCAAGGUUGAAACUCAAAGGAAUUGACGGGGACCCGCACAAGCGGUGGAGCAUGUGGUUUAAUUCGAAGCAACGCGAAGAACCUUACCAAAUCUUGACAUCCUUUGACAACUCUAGAGAUAGAGCCUUCCCCUUCGGGGGACAAAGUGACAGGUGGUGCAUGGUUGUCGUCAGCUCGUGUCGUGAGAUGUUGGGUUAAGUCCCGCAACGAGCGCAACCCUUAAGCUUAGUUGCCAUCAUUAAGUUGGGCACUCUAAGUUGACUGCCGGUGACAAACCGGAGGAAGGUGGGGAUGACGUCAAAUCAUCAUGCCCCUUAUGAUUUGGGCUACACACGUGCUACAAUGGACAAUACAAAGGGCAGCGAAACCGCGAGGUCAAGCAAAUCCCAUAAAGUUGUUCUCAGUUCGGAUUGUAGUCUGCAACUCGACUACAUGAAGCUGGAAUCGCUAGUAAUCGUAGAUCAGCAUGCUACGGUGAAUACGUUCCCGGGUCUUGUACACACCGCCCGUCACACCACGAGAGUUUGUAACACCCGAAGCCGGUGGAGUAACCUUUUAGGAGCUAGCCGUCGAAGGUGGGACAAAUGAUUGGGGUGAAGUCGUAACAAGGUAGCCGUAUCGGAAGGUGCGGCUGGAUCACCU